UACGUAGGUGGCAAGCGUUGUUCGGAAUUACUGGGCGUAAAGGGCGCGUAGGCGGCCUGCUAAGUCGAACGUGAAAUCCCUGGGCUCAACCCAGGAACUGCGUCCGAUACUGGUUGGCGUGAAUUCGGGAGAGGGAUGUGGAAUUCCAGGUGUAGCGGUGAAAUGCGUAGAUAUCUGGAGGAACACCGGUGGCGAAGGCGGCAUCCUGGACCGAUAUUGACGCUGAUGCGCGAAAGCCAGGGGAGCAAACAGG
rnacentral:rRNA from 1 species